rnacentral:rRNA from 1 species
AAAUUGAAGAGUUUGAUCAUGGCUCAGAUUGAACGCUGGCGGCAGGCCUAACACAUGCAAGUCGAACGGUAACAGGAAACAGCUUGCUGUUUCGCUGACGAGUGGCGGACGGGUGAGUAAUGUCUGGGAAACUGCCUGAUGGAGGGGGAUAACUACUGGAAACGGUAGCUAAUACCGCAUAACGUCGC